rnacentral:rRNA from 1 species
GCUGGAAUUGCUAGUAAUGGCAGGUCAGCAUACUGCCGUGAAUACGUUCCCGGGCCUUGUACACACCGCCCGUCACACCAUGAGAGUUGGAAAUACCCGAAGCCUGUGAGCUAACUUUUAGAGGCAGCAGUCGAAGGUAGAGCCAAUGAUUGGGGUGAAGUCGUAACAAGGUACC